rnacentral:lncRNA from 1 species
UCAAAGUUUUAAAAGUUUGAUAACAGCCUUAUUCAAAAUGACAUUAAUUAUAUAUCAAACUAGAGGAGUACAUAUCAUAAACGUCCAUACUGUGCUCUAAACAGGGCUGGCCCUGGGCCCCCAAAUCCCGGGGGGAACCAGAUAUGUAAAUGCAUGUACUGCAUAUAUGUGAAGCAGCACUAGCUUGCUAAAUGUUGAUGCUUGCUGCUAGUCCCAUGCAUGAUGCAUGUCAAGGGCAGUUCAUGAUGCCAAAACUAGGUCCUGAUCCAAACCGUGAUUCUGUGAAUGGAGUAUGUUAUUUUUUUCAUCAAUUCCUUCCACUAGGGGUGUAAGUGGGCCGGCCCGCCAACCCGCUUAUAGGUCAAUUAAACGGGUAACCCGGUGGACAACCCGCUUAAUUGGCCUAUAAUCGGGUUGGCGGGCUGGCCCACUUACACCCUUACCUUCCACCGUCCACCUGUCUUUCAUAUAUUCCUUCCACGAGGGGUGUAAGUGGGCCGGCCCGCCAACCCGCUUAUAGGUCAAUUAAACGGGUAACCCGGUGGACAACCCGCUUAAUUGGCC